ensembl:lncRNA
GGGGAGAGAGAGAGAGAGAGAGAGAGAGAGAGAGAGAGAGAGAGAGAAAGAAAGAAAGAAAGAAAGAAAGAAAGAAAGAAAGAAAGAAAGAAAGAGAGAGAGAGAGAGAGAAAGAAAGAAAGAAAGAAAGAAAGAAAGAAAGAAAGAAAGAAAGAGAGAGAGAGAGAAUUGAAUAAGCAUCCUUGAAAGAAUAGACAAGCGUGAAGCCUGAGUUGUUUAAAAACAAAGUAUAUUGAGUUUAAGGAUCAACAGUUAAAUUGGACAUAUACUUUUGCUUCAUAUUGACUUUGAAAAAUCAGUGUCUCCCUUGAUAUCGGGCCUACAUCAACGAAAACAUUUCUCUUCUGUUCAGAGGCAGAGCAACAGUAACAUACAGUACCAAGUAUUGAUAAAGUAGUGUAGCCUGAUACAGGAAAGUUUCUGAGCACAUCUGAAAAAACAAAACGUAAUAACACACCAGACAUAACACAGUAAAUACAUUGUGAUGAUGACCACUUGACAGGGGAGAAGACGUACAGUACACAUACAAAAGAGAGUUUGCAAUACAUGUGUACAUAAAUACAUUAUUUUGAGGAUUUCUUUUUUUUUGCUUGUUGUUUUUAUAAAAUAUUUUUCAAGAAACGUAAAACGACGGAAAAAAGUUGCACAAAACACACUUUUAAACGACUCUGUUAGCGACACAUGAAAAAUGAAUAUGUCAAAUGAAUCAACACACACACACACACACACACACACACACACACACACACACACACACACACACACACACACACACACACACACACAAAGCACACACAAAGCACACACAAAGCACAACAGAAAAAACAUAUUUCUCUUCCUAUGUCACAACUGCACUGCAAGUUUGGCUUUUUUUUUCAAUGGUUAAGACAAUGUGAUUCCUAUAGUCGAGUUUCUGAAUCAUUUGUGGGCCAUGAACUGGAUCUCACUUGGCUAUAGGACCGUGGCUCGUUUCAAAACCUCUACCACAACGCUGUCACCUGGUAUUCCGUUGAGAAAAUAUGUCUCUGUUACUUUACAUGGGAGAGAUAACCAUGAUUUAUAAAGCAGACAAACUUCCCAGCCAGUGAGAGUUAUAUAAAUAUGAGCGUGGGCUGAUGGUGGUGUAUGGGCAAAUGGAAAUUGACUUGGGUCCAGCGGAAUGGCAAUAAAGUAUGAAUAAAUGGAUUGUGGGGGAAGAGGGAGAGACUAGCUGAGAGAGCCGAUGGCAGCCAUUUUGUGUCUGGCCCGUGGCCCAUGGUGCCAUCUUACAAAUGACUGCAUUAACAGAGCCAAUUAAAGUGGCAAUCAUUUAAUGGCCACCUACGCAGCCGUGCGAGACUGGGACUUUCAUCACGUCAAUCGGCCGUAAGGCAGUAAUAUUCAGUUAGAGCAAUCUGGCCAGUGGACCGACUCAGCUCUGCUCUACUCUCAAUAAAACAUGCCACCACUCAGCACUGACUGGGUAUUAGGAACAACAGCUUUAGGAGGAGAGGAGUUAUUCUUUUGAAAAUAAAUACACUGAAUCGCUUUAAUUUAAUGGCAGCUAUCAAUAGUAGUUCUUUGUAGUUAAUUGUACAAAAAAGUUUGUAAUAAAAAAAAAGAGAAUAAAUGUUUUAUUUUCCACCAAUUUUUCUAAAUGUAUUUUGGUUUUUAUAAACUAAGGAACACAUGCUUUCCAGGACAGGUUUCACUCCCUUCACCUGAAAUGAAGGGGACAUGAAGAUGCAGACAGAGUGAUGGGGGACAUAAACUAAGGAACACAUGAAGGUGCAGACAGAGUGAUGGGGGACAUGAAGAAGCAGACAGAGUGAUGGGGGACAUGAAGAUGCAGACAGAGUGAUGGGGGACAUGAAGAUGCAGACAGAGUGAUGGGGGACAUGAAGAAGCAGACAGAGUGAUGGGGGACAUGAAGAUGCAGACAGAGUGAUGGGGGACAUGAAGGUGCAGACAGAGUGAUGGGGGACAUGAAGAUGCAGACAGAGUGAUGGGGGACAUGAAGGUGCAGAUGGAGUGAUGGGGACAUGAAGGUGCAGAUGGAAGGAUGGGGACAUGAAGGUGCAGAAAGACUGAUGGGUAGAAAGAAGAAAAGAAUUGCAUUUUAUCGACCAAUGUCCUUCCCCAUCUAUCCUCUGCAGUCAUACUACCCAGAAUGCUUUCGGCUCCAAGCGCUCUUUGAGUUUUAGGAGCAUCGUAAAGUGGAACAGAGCUAGAGUCGUUUAAAAUUGGGCUUGUCUACUUCAAAACAUAAAUAUAACAACAAAAAGCAACAAAAAUGCAAAACAACAUAAAAAUAAAACAAUUUCUCGGGGACCUGAUUCUCAUCCUCUAGGUUAUUUGGACACAUUGUAUACACACAUACAUAUUGUAGACCAACAAUACACUUCACAUGGUCAUCUGACCAAAGACACAUAGAAUCACAAGAUAAGCCAGUUGCGUCUAUACCGGCACCUUUUCCCUACACAGUGCACUACUUUAGACCAGGGCCCAUAGGGAAUAGGGUGCAUUACUUUAGACCAGGGACCAUAGGGAAUAGGGUGCUUUAGACCAGGGCCCAUAGGGAAUAGGGUGCACUACUUUAGACCAGGGCCCAUAGGGAAUAGGGUGCACUACUUUAGACCAGGACCCAUAGGGAAUAGGGUGCACUACUUUAGACCAGGGCCCAUAGGGAAUAGGGUGCAUUACUUUAGACCAGGGCCCAUAGGGAUUAGGGUGCUUUAGACCAGGGCCCAUAGGGAAUAGGGUGCACUACUUUAGACCAGGACCCAUAGGGAAUAGGGUGCACUACUUUAGACCAGGGCCCAUAGGGAAUAGGGUGCUUUACUUUAGACCAGGGCCCAUAGGGAAUAGGGUGCUUUAGACCAGGGCCCAUAGGGAAUAGGGUGCAUUACUUUAGACCAGGGCCCAUAGGGAAUAGGGUGCACUACUUUAGACCAGGGCCCAUAGGGAAUAGGGUGCUUUAGACCAGGACCCAUAGGGAAUAGGGUGCUUUAGACCAGGGCCCAUAGGGAAUAGGGUGCACUACUUUAGACCAGGGCCCAUAGGGAAUAGGGUGCACUACUUUAGACCAGGACCCAUAGGGAAUAGGGUGCACUACUUUAGACCAGGGCCCAUAGGGAAUAGGGUGCAUUACUUUAGACCAGGGCCCAUAGGGAUUAGGGUGCUUUAGACCAGGGCCCAUAGGGAAUAGGGUGCACUACUUUAGACCAGGACCCAUAGGGAAUAGGGUGCACUACUUUAGACCAGGGCCCAUAGGGAAUAGGGUGCAUUACUUUAGACCAGGGCCCAUAGGGAAUAGGGUGCUUUACUUUAGACCAGGGCCCAUAGGGAAUAGGGUGCUUUAGACCAGGGCCCAUAGGGAAUAGGGUGCAUUACUUUAGACCAGGCCCAUAGGGAAUAGGGUGCUUUAGACCAGGGCCCAUAGGGAAUAGGGUGCACUACUUUAGAACAGGACCCAUAGGGAAUAGGGUGCUUCAGUAUACCAACAAUGAAAUUAAAAUAUAUUUUAUAAAGUCCUAAAAUGUCACCACUGUUUAACCCACUGUUUGACCCACUGUUUGACCCACUGUUUGACCCACUGUUUGACCCACUGUUUGACCCACUGUUUGACCCACUGUUUGACCCAUAUAGAUCGUGAUACAUGUUUGUGAAAGGAAUAACAUUUUGUUUCAUUUUUAAAAAACUUUUUCUAGAUUUUCUCAAUCUAAUAAUAAUAGAUAAUAUCACUAUAAUCCAUUUGAUACACCAAUAAACACUAUGCUGUGACACUUCUAUAAUAACACACAAGUACUGUAUGUAAAUGAUUCUAGGAAAAUAAUAACAUCUUGUAGAAAUACAAAAACAAGGAAAACAAGAGUAAUUUCAGGAAGAAUUCAGUAAAGUGCAAAUAGGAAGAUAUAUAAGGAAUGAAAUAUAUAGUAAUAUUAAGAUUAUUCAUAAUAAAAGUCAACAUAUGCAACAUGAGAUACUUAUUUACAUAAUAAAAUCAGAGCAGCAGCAGAGUUGAUAUCCUUCUCGCACAGAACAGCUGUUUUUACAUUGUGAGGUCAAAGGUCUAUUGAGAGUGAUGUAGUUUGACUAUAAGAAUAUUUUGUAUAAUAUCAAUACUGAUAUAUUUUAAGGUGGAUAUGUAAGAUUUUGUUUGGGCUAGAUAUAUUUUGCGCGUGAGCCGAGCUGGUCAAAGACGUUUUUGUCAUGAAACACCAACAGGUUACAGUGUAGAUAGAGAAUAUCUCUUCCAGUAUGAACCCUACGCAACAAGUCUUAACAUUUUAAAGCACCAUCGUGCCCACUCGUUUGCCCUUUUGAGUUAUUCAACCUCUUGGAACCACCCAUCGCGGAUCCGGGAUAAUUGUCAUCAACUACGCUAAAUAGCAUAGCGCAACGGUCAAAUAAUCUUACUAGAAAAUAUUCAUAGUCGUGAAAUCACAAGUGAAAUAUAGCGAAACACAUCUUAGCCUUUUGUUAAUCACCAUGUCGUCUCAGAUUUUGAAAUGAUGCUUUACAGCGAUAACAAUCCAAGCGUUUGUGUAAGUUUAUCGAUAUACUAACAAAACAUUAUGUUCACCUAGCUGCAGGUAACUUGGUCACGAAAAUAUUUUUUAAAUCCAAAUACCUCUGUUAGUUUGAUGCGUUAUGACUAGGAAUCCACCGGAAAUAGCGGUCACGACAACGCAGACAAAAAUUCCAAAUUAUAUCCAUAAUAUCGACAGAAAUAUGGCAAACGUUUUUUAUAAUCAAUCCUCAAGGUGUUUUUCAAAUAUCUAUUCGAUAAUAUAUCAACCGGGACAGUUGGCUUUUCACUAGGACCGGGAGGAACAAUGUCUACCUCUCUGUUUUGCGCAAAAAUCACACUGAGAGCCGACACAACUGACCACUUACGCAAUGUGGACGUUUACACUCAUUCUUCAAAAUAAAGGCCUGAAACUACAUCUAAAGGCUGUAGACACCUGAGGGAAGCCACAGAAAAAGGAAUCUGGUUGAUAUCCCUUUCAAUGGGCAAUAGGGAUGCAUAGAAACACAGGGGUUUGAAAAUAGCUAGGCCAUUGAGGAGGCAUUAGGACGGGAACAGUCAAACAAUAGCUAGGCCAUUGAGGAGGCAUUAGGAUGGGAACAGUCAAACAAUAGCUAGGCCAUUGAGCAGGCAUUAGGAUGGGAACAGUCAAACAAUAGCUAGGCCAUUGAGCAGGCAUUAGGAUGGGAACAGUCAAACAAUAGCUAGGCCAUUGAGCAGGCAUUAGGAUGGGAACAGUCAAACAAUAGCUAGGCCAUUGAGCAGGCAUUAGGAUGGGAACAGACAAACAAUAGCUAGGCCAUUGAGCAGGCAUUAGGAUGGGAACAGACAAACAAUAGCUAGGCCAUUGAGUAGGCAUUAGGAUGGGAACAGUCAAACAAUAGCUAGGCCAUUGAGUAGGCAUUAGGAUGGGAACAGACAAACAAUAGCUAGGCCAUUGAGUAGGCAUUAGGAUGGGAACAGACAAACAAUAGCUAGGCCAUUGAGCAGGCAUUAGGAUGGGAACAGUCAAACAAUAGCUAGGCCAUUGAGUAGGCAUUAGGAUGGGAACAGACAAACAAUAGCUAGGCCAUUGAGUAGGCAUUAGGAUGGGAACAGUCAAACAAUAGCUAGGCCAUUGAGCAGGCAUUAGGAUGGGAACAGUCAAACAAUAGCUAGGCCAUUGAGUAGGCAUUAGGAUGGGAACAGACAAACAAUAGCUAGGCCAUUGAGCAGGCAUUAGGAUGGCAACUGUCAAUGUCAUAUAUUUCCAUUUGUUUCCGUAUCUUCUAAAUAUAUGGCUCUGGUUACAAACAUUGAGGAUCGAGGAUGAAUUGUGUGAAAGACACAAAAGCCAGUCAGACAUGUUUAUGAGUGAAGGAGUAGAACGACACAUAAGGAAACACUGCUAGCUCAACCUAGUUAAAGGGAAAG